AUCCAGCUGACGAGUCCCAAAUAAGAUGAAACGCACGUCCUAGGAU
rfam:Schistosoma haematobium scaffold306_5, whole genome shotgun sequence.